AACAAACGCUGGCGGCGUGCCUAAUACAUGCAAGUCGAACGGGGAAAGUAGCAAUAUGAGUACUAGUGGCGCACGGGUGAGUAACGCGUGGAUAAUCUGCCUUGAAGAGGGGGAUAACUAGUCGAAAGAUUAGCUAAUACCGCAUAAGACCACAAGAACUGAGGUUCAAGGGGUCAAAGGUUUUUCGCUUCAAGAUGAGUCCGCGUAAGAUUAGCUAGUUGGUGAGGUAAUGGCUCACCAAGGCAACGAUCUUUAACUGGUCUGAGAGGAUGAUCAGUCACACUGGAACUGAGACACGGUCCAGACUCCUACGGGAGGCAGCAGUAGGGAAUAUUGCACAAUGGAGGAAACUCUGAUGCAGCGACGCCGCGUGAGUGAGGAAGGCCUUCGGGUCGUAAAGCUCUGUCGCAGGGGAAUAACACAAUGAAUGGACCCUGUAAGAAAGGAUCGGCUAACUUCG
rnacentral:rRNA from 1 species